CCUCUCCUCAAAGUUAGCUAAAUGAAACGAGUAAGAAUGUGAAAGUGUGAGAGAAGAUGUGCUUUAAACCCCUAUAUCAUGACCAGUUGUCAAGGAAAGGUAGAAACGGUGAGGCCAUGAAUUUCUGGAUGGUUGGAUACUCACCAAAAAAGAAAAAAAGGGAGCGUGAGGGACCCAGAUGUCCUUGAAUUUGUGGAGCAAGCAGUCUUGUUCUCUACUUCAGUAAUUGGAGGGCUGGGAGAGGCAGUUUUUGCUCUUCGUCACACCUUGAAGGGAUUUUCUAUUCCAUGGCCUGAAGGAAGUCAAGAAAUGAUUAAAGCUGGAAAAUGAAGAAGCAGCAACAUAAUCAUGUAAUUUGGAAAUAUGAGGACAGCCUCUCCUGCUCUCUUAAGAAACCCUUGAAGAAGCCAAUUUGAGUCUGCCCACGAAUUAAUGGCCCUAGCUGGUGGCUUUCGGGAGACAGCAUCGUUAUUCUCUGUUCUCUUUUCUGGUCUCUGGGUCAAGAUUUCCUUGUCUCCACUCCCAUCCUAAUGAAGAGAUUAAUGCAUCAAGAAGUACCUCUUGGUGACUUUAAACUGCCGAUCUCCUGAGGAAUGCCAGCACAUUCUAGUGAUCACUAGGAGUCUGGAGGCUUCAGUCGCUGCUCUUCCCCUUCUGCACUGAGACACCUCAACCAUAUCCUGCAUCAUAAAUCUAGGGGAGUGCGAAGCCUCUGUCUAGAGAAACGGCACUCUUCCUUGUGGCAUUUUAAAUGUCUAGAUAGGAACAGACAUAGACCAGAGAGGUGGCUUUUAAAAUAAAUUUCUUUGUAUUGAA